rnacentral:rRNA from 1 species
AUAACAAUACAGGACUCUUUCGAGGCCCUGUAAUUGGAGUGAGUACACUUUAAAUCCUUUAACAAGGAUCUAUUGGAGGGCAAGUCUGGUGCAAAGUGACUGACCCGUGCGUGCUGUAGCUGAAACUCCACUAUCGCCUGCUGCUG